UGGGGAAUAUUGCACAAUGGGCGCAAGCCUGAUGCAGCCAUGCCGCGUGUAUGAAGAAGGCCUUCGGGUUGUAAAGUACUUUCAGUCGGGAGGAAGGUGGUAAGGUUAAUAACCUUAUCAAUUGACGUUACCGACAGAAGAAGCACCGGCUAACUCCGUGCCAGCAGCCGCGGUAAUACGGAGGGUGCAAGCGUUAAUCGGAAUUACUGGGCGUAAAGCGCACGCAGGCGGUUGAUUGAGUCAGAUGUGAAAUCCCCGGGCUUAACCCGGGAAUUGCAUCUGAUACUGGUCAGCUAGAGUCGUGUAGAGGGGGGUAGAAUUCCAUGUGUAGCGGUGAAAUGCGUAGAGAUGUGGAGGAAUACCGGUGGCGAAGGCGGCCCCCUGGACAAAGACUGACGCUCAGGUGCGAAAGCGUGGGGAGCAAACAGG
rnacentral:rRNA from 1 species